GGACCCGCACAAGCGGUGGAUGAUGUGGUUUAAUUCGAUGCAACGCGAAAAACCUUACCUACCCUUGACAUGUACGGAACUUGCCAGAGAUGGCUUGGUGCUCGAAAGAGAGCCGUAACACAGGUGCUGCAUGGCUGUCGUCAGCUCGUGUCGUGAGAUGUUGGUUAAGUCCCGCAACGAGCGCAACCCUUGUCAUUAGUUGCUACAUUUAGUUGGGCACUCUAAUGAGACUGCCGGUGACAAACCGGAGGAAGGUGGGGAUGACGUCAAGUCCUCAUGGCCCUUAUGGGUAGGGCUACACACGUCAUACAAUGGCUGGUACAAAGGGUUGCCAACCCGCGAGGGGAGCUAA
rnacentral:rRNA from 1 species